AUGUUUCAUUGUGAUUUCUUGACUAUUUGUAUGGAUAUUUUCAGUGAACAACAAGCGUCGUGAAUGCAGCUUUUGACCUGUUUACAAGGGCAAGCUCCCGAGUGGCCAAGAAAUCGCGGUGAAAAGGCUUUAAGGAGCCAAGGAAUUCAGGAACGAAGUCGUAGUAAUCUCAAGGCUUCAACACAGGAAUCUUGUCAAACUCCUAGGCUGUUGCAUUCAAGGGGAAGAAUACAUAUUAGUGUAUGAACACAUGAUCAACAGAAGUUUGGAUUCUUUCAUCUUUGAUGAAUCCAAACAAUCAUUAGUGGAUUGGAAGACUCGGGUUCAAAUCAUUGAAGGAAUCGCGCAGGGCAUUCUGUACCUGCACAAGUACUCAAGGCUGAGGGUCAUACAUCGCGACCUCAAGGCGAGCAAUAUCCUCUUGGAUGGUGGUAUGAACCCCAAGAUCUCUGAUUUUGGCAUAUCCAGGAUUUAUGGUGAGAACGGAGCUCGUGCAAAGACAACCAAAAUCGCAGGCACCUAAGGUUACUUGUCGCCUGAAUACGCUAUGGAUGGAAAUUUCUCGAAGAAAUCGGAUGUGUUUAGCUUUGGCAUUAUAGUGCUAGAGAUCAUCAGUGGCAAGAGGAAUAUUCCUUCUUUAGGCUGAUCACUCUCUGAAUAUGCUCGGCUAUGUAUGUAAGCUUCGGUUGUCACUUGUCACUCGUUUUUUUUGUUUCAUUAAUCAUGGAAAAGGAAAUGGUUUUAACAUGAUGGGAAAGGGAACCUAAUUAGGCAUGGAAGCUGUGGAAAGAAGGGAGGAGCAUUGAGUUGUUGGAUGAGGCGCUGCAGGCUGACUCAUGCGCAGACAGUGAAGCAGAAAAGUACGUCCGGUUGGGAUUCUAUGCGUGCAGGAACGAGCUGCAGAUCACCUGGACAUGCCGGUUUUGUAGCCAUGGCGGGCAACAACAUAGCUGCUCUUCCUCUGCCUAAACAGCCUGCAUUUUUAUGCUAACAGGACUGUGUAGUUUAUGCUGUUUCUUUUAUUGUAUUGUAUAUAGGUCUUUAGCAAUGUCAAAUGUA